UACGAAGGGUGCAAGCGUUACUCGGAAUUACUGGGCGUAAAGGGUGCGUAGGUGGUUUUUUAAGUCCGUUGUGAAAUCCCUGGGCUCAACCUGGGAAUGGCAGUGGAUACUGGAAAGCUAGAGUGCGGUAGAGGGUAGUGGAAUUCCCGGUGUAGCAGUGAAAUGCGUAGAGAUCGGGAGGAACACCAGUAGCGAAGGCGGCUACCUGGACCAGCACUGACACUGAGGCACGAAAGCGUGGGGAGCAAACAGG
rnacentral:rRNA from 1 species